rnacentral:rRNA from 1 species
UACGGGGGGGGCAAGCGUUGUUCGGAAUUACUGGGCGUAAAGGGCUCGUAGGCGGCCAACUAAGUCAGACGUGAAAUCCCUCGGCUUAACCGGGGAACUGCAUCUGAUACUGGAUGGCUUGAGUUCGGGAGAGGGAUGCGGAAUUCCAGGUGUAGCGGUGAAAUGCGUAGAUAUCCGGAGGAACACCAGGGGCGAAAGCGGCCACCUGGACUGCACCUGACGCUGACACGCGAAAGCUAGGGGAGCGAACGGG